GUCCACGCCGUAAACGAUGGAUACUAGCUGUUGGGCGCAAGUUCAGUGGCUAAGCGAAAGUGAUAAGUAUCCCACCUGGGGAGUACGUUCGCAAGAAUGAAACUCAAAGGAAAUUGACGGGGGCCCGGGCCACAAAGACGGUGGGAGGCAUGUGGGUUUAAGUUUACGUAUGAUAACGCCGGAGGGAAACCGUUAACCCUAAACGGGACGUUAAAUUAAGUAGGAAUUGUACAGAUUUGGUAAACGAAGAUUUUUCUUUUCGGUACGAAUUUACUAAGGUAGGCUGCAUGGUUGGUCGU
rnacentral:rRNA from 1 species